rnacentral:tRNA from 1 species
AACGAGAUAGAGUAAUAGGUUAACUUUUUAGGCUCAUGACCUAAGGAUGUAGGUUCAAGUCCUACUCUCGUUA